CUCACUUAGCCCUCGGCCGCCGCGCCGGGUUCUGCCUCCUGCAACGAAACGACCUGUGUGUCAGCCUCAUCCUCCCCGGAGAGGAAGUUAGAAUGUCCGCGCCUGGCCGGGCCACGUGGCUCGACGUGGCUGAUGCCUGAGGAACCCCCUUGAAGGCCGAAGCCUGAGAGCGGAAGUGACGUCAGCGGGCGCCGGCUCCGCCGCGUAGUGUCAAGUGCCUUCCUCAUGGUGCACCUCUCCCCGCCUAGGGUGGAUUCUGCGUGCGGGGUCUCCCAGUGGUGGCAGCUGGGUGGCAGCGGACCCCCAUAAAGGGACCAGGCCGGCUUCGCUGGCGUGCCUAGGGCCGCGCAUCCUUCCCGGCUCUCGGGUCCGAGAGGCGCCGGGGGGCGCUGGGUCAGGAAGUGUGGCCGGGGCGCGCCCUCCGGUGCUUUCUUCCGCGGCGCUCCUCUUUUCCAAAGCCUGCGAAGCAGUCUUUCCGAAAUCGUUUCCCAGAGGGAAGAGAAUUUCCGCGAUUUAGUAACGUUGGCUCCAGACUCAGUGCCCACUCUCCUGACGGAUUGGCAUUCUGGCGAGUUCAGGCUUUCUUCUGUCUAGGGGCCCAGUCUGCCUUCUUCAAGAAAAGAGUAAGACAGAAAGCAUGGUGGCAGACUGUCUGACAAAUUGUUAUCAGGUAUGCAGACACCAUGUCUCACAAAAUGACCAGCUUGUCUUUACAGGUAGGCACAUUUUUAGACAGAUAUAUCUUCAAAGUU
rnacentral:lncRNA from 1 species